GGGCGUGAUGCUUAAUCUACGUAGAAUCUCUGGAACCAAUUCGUGUCAGGAGCAAUGACAAUCAUAGAAGAUUGAACAUACAUCGAGGCUGCUCUUUUCACGAGCUCGUUGCUAAUGGCGAUGUUAGAAGAAUCCAUCUCUGACAAGAGAAAACCAUCUUGUGAAGGAACACUGUAUUGUGGGUGACAAAACAACGAACCAAAUCCAUCGGAACUUGAGAUCACGUCUUUCAAGCUCGUGUACUGGAGAUUAUUCUGAUCAUUGUCGUCGGAGAUAAAGAUGUAGGGUGAUUUUUGCAACAUUUGGAAACCUUGUCUCCAUAUUCGUAGUAGUCUUUAAAUGGUGGGAGAGUCUGAUGAGUUUAAAUAUCUUCCCUUGUUUUAGACGACCGGUGAUUCCUUCUAUUUAGCCUGAACUAUCGGAAAGGCCUUCAAUUUUUUGGAGACUUUCCACUUUUA